rnacentral:rRNA from 1 species
CUACCUGGCGGCGUGCUUACACCUGCAGUCGAACGAACUUCGGGUUAGUGGCGGACGGGUGAGUAACGCGUGAGAAUCUGCCCUCAGGAGGGGGAUAACGGCUGGAAACGGCCGCUAAUACCCCAUAUGCCGAGAGGUGAAAUGAAUUUCGCCUGAGGAUGAGCUCGCGUCUGAUUAGCUAGUUGGUGGGGUAAGGGCCUACCAAGGCAUCGAUCAGUAGCUGGUCUGAGAGGAUGAUCAGCCACACUGGGACUGAGACACGGCCCAGACUCCUACGGGAGGCAGCAGUGGGGAAUUUUCCGCAAUGGGCGAAAGCCUGACGGAGCAACGCCGCGUGAGGGAUGAAGGCCUCUGGGCUGUAAACCUCUUUUCUCAAGGAAGAAGAUCUGACGGUACUUGAGGAAUAAGCCACGGCUAAUUCCGUGCCAGCAGCCGCGGUAAUACGGGAGUGGCAAGCGUUAUCCGGAAUUAUUGGGCGUAAAGCGUCCGCAGGCGGCCUUGUAAGUCUGUCGUUAAAGCGUGGAGCUUAACUCCAUUUCAGCGAUGGAAACUGCGAGGCUUGAGUGUGGUAGGGGCAGAGGGAAUUCCCGGUGUAGCGGUGAA